GACGAACGCUGGCGGCGUGCUUAACACAUGCAAGUCGAACGGAAAGGCCCCUUUGGGGGUACUCGAGUGGCGAACGGGCGAGUAACACGUGAGUAACCUGCCCUUGACUUCGGGAUAACUUCCGGAAACUGGGUCUAAUACCGGAUAGGAAUCCUUGCCGCAUGGUGGGGGUUGGAAAGCUUCGGCGGUUUUGGAUGGACUCGCGGCCUAUCAGUUUGUUGGUGGGGUAGUGGCUUACCAAGGCUUUGACGGGUAGCCGGCCUGAGAGGGCGACCGGCCACAUUGGGGCUGGGAUACGGCCCAGACUCCUACGGGAGGCAGCAGUGGGGAAUAUUGCACAAUGGGCGGAAGCCUGAUGCAGCAACGCCGCGUGCGGGAUGACGGCCUUCGGGUUGUAAACCGCUUUCAGCAGGGGCGAAGCUUGUGGUGACGGUACCUGCAGAAGAAGCACCGGCUAACUACGUG
rnacentral:rRNA from 1 species